rnacentral:rRNA from 1 species
UACGUAGGGGGCAAGCGUUUGUCCGGAUUUAUUGGGCGUAAAGAGCGUGUAGGCGGCCUUACAGGUCAGCUGUGAAAACUCGAGGCUCAACCUCGAGACGUCGGUUGAAACCGUAAGGCUAGAGUCCGGAAGAGGAGAGUGGAAUUCCCGGUGUAGCGGUGAAAUGCGCAGAUAUCGGGAAGAACACCCGUGGCGAAGGCGGCUCUCUGGGACGGUACUGACGCUG